rnacentral:lncRNA from 1 species
UGGAUCCUUAUCGAACUUAAAUUAGUUUUAAGUAGAGAAAGAAUCCUACACAAUCACCAAAAGGCACAUAAAAAUAUAAUUGCCAUCACCUCAAAUCAGCAUGAGAAAUAAAGAGUCCUUCUUAAAGAAGGCUCUUUAUUAAACAUGUUGUCUUAGAAGAUAAAUUAGAAAUCCUAUGUUUUGAUGCCAAAAAUUAAUAAAAUUUUUAUGGCACAU